AACGAACGCUGGCGGCAGGCCUAACACAUGCAAGUCGAGCGGACAUCUUCGGAUGUUAGCGGCGGACGGGUGAGUAACGCGGGGUAACUUGCCCUUUGCUUCGGAAUAGCCUCGGGAAACUGGGCGUAAUACCGGAAGUGCCCUUUGGGGGUAAGAUUUAUCGGCAAAGGAUCGGCGCGCGUUGGAUUAGGUAGCUGGAGGGGUAAUGGCCUACCAAGCCGACGAUCCAGAGCUGGUGUGAGAGGAUGAUCAGCCACACUGGGGGUGGGACACGGACCAGACUUCUACGGGUGGCAGCAGUGGGGACUCUUAGACGAUGGGGGAGUCCCUGAUGUAGCCAGGCCGCGUGAGCGAUGAAGUCCUUAAGGUUGUAGAGCUCUUUCACCGGGGAAGAUAAUGACGGUACCCGGAGAAGAAGCCACGGCUAACUACGUG
rnacentral:rRNA from 1 species